UACGUAGGUGGCAAGCGUUGUUCGGAAUUACUGGGCGUAAAGCGCGUGUAGGCGGCUCUUCAAGUCAGACGUGAAAGCCCCGGGCUUAACUCGGGAACUGCGUUUGAUACUGUCGAGCUAGAGUGUGGCAGAGGAAGGUGGAAUUCCACGUGUAGCGGUGAAAUGCGUAGAUAUGUGGAGGAACACCGAUGGCGAAGGCAGCCUUCUGGGCCAACACUGACGCUCAUGCACGAAAGCGUGGGGAGCAAACAGG
rnacentral:rRNA from 1 species